rnacentral:rRNA from 1 species
AGAGGAGCUUGCUCUUCUUGGAUGAGUUGCGAACGGGUGAGUAACGCGUAGGUAACCUGCCUGGUAGCGGGGGAUAACUAUUGGAAACGAUAGCUAAUACCGCAUAAAAUGGAUUAUUGCAUGAUAGUCAAUUGAAAGGUGCAACUGCACCACUACCAGAUGGACCUGCGUUGUAUUAGCUAGUUGGUGGGGUAACGGCUCACCAAGGCGACGAUACAUAGCCGACCUGAGAGGGUGAUCGGCCACACUGGGACUGAGACACGGCCCAGACUCCUACGGGAGGCAGCAGUAGGGAAUCUUCGGCAAUGGACGGAAGUCUGACCGAGCAACGCCGCGUGAGUGAAGAAGGUUUUCGGAUCGUAAAGCUCUGUUGUAAGAGAAGAACGAGUGUGAGAGUGGAAAGUUCACACUGUGACGGUAUCUUACCAGAAAGGGACGGCUAACUACGUGCCAGCAGCCGCGGUAAUACGUAGGUCCCGAGCGUUGUCCGGAUUUAUUGGGCGUAAAGCGAGCGCAGGCGGUUAGAUAAGUCUGAAGUUAAAGGCUGUGGCUUAACCAUAGUACGCUUUGGAAACUGUUUAACUUGAGUGCAAGAGGGGAGAGUGGAAUUCCAUGUGUAGCGGUGAAAUGCGUAGAUAUAUGGAGGAACACCGGUGGCGAAAGCGGCUCUCUGGCUUGUAACUGACGCUGAGGC